UGAUAUUCUUGUUAAACUACUUCUUG
rnacentral:tRNA from 1 species